rnacentral:rRNA from 1 species
AUACGGAGGAUGCAAGCGUUAUCCGGAUUUAUUGGGUUUAAAGGGUGCGCAGGCGGAAAAUUAAGUCAGUGGUGAAAUCCUACAGCUUAACUGUAGAACUGUCAUUGAUACUGAUUUUCUUGAGUGCAGUUGAGGUAGGCGGAAUGUGUAAUGUAGCGGUGAAAUGCUUAGAUAUUACACAGAACACCGAUUGCGUAGGCAGCUUACUAAACUGUUACUGACGCUCAGGCACGAAAGCGUGGGGAGCGAACAGGAUUAGAUACCCCAGUAGUCC